rnacentral:rRNA from 1 species
GAUGAACGCUGGCGGCGUGCCUAAUACAUGCAAGUCGAGCGAACAGACGAGGAGCUUGCUCCUCUGACGUUAGCGGCGGACGGGUGAGUAACACGUGGAUAACCUACCUAUAAGACUGGGAUAACUUCGGGAAACCGGAGCUAAUACCGGAUAAUAUAUUGAACCGCAUGGUUCAAUAGUGAAAGACGGUUUUGCUGUCACUUAUAGAUGGAUCCGCGCCGCAUUAGCUAGUUGGUAAGGUAACGGCUUACCAAGGCAACGAUGCGUAGCCGACCUGAGAUGGUGAUCGGCCACACUGGAACUGAGACACGGUCCAGACUCCUACGGGAGGCAGCAGUAGGGAAUCUUCCGCAAAGGGCGAAAGCCUGACGGAGCAACGCCGCGUGAGUGAUGAAGGUCUUCGGAUCGUAAAACUCUGUUAUUAGGGAAGAACAAAUGUGUAAGUAACUAUGCACGUCUUGACGGUACCUAAUCAGAAAGCCACGGCUAACUACGUG